UCACUAACUGUCGGAUGUGGACGGACUGCAAUGCAGCGAUAAUUAAGAGCAUAGAGGAGAACCAUGCCUCUUUAUAUCUAGAAGAGAACAUCAUGAACACACUGUGGUACUGGCCAAGCUUUACACUGAACUUAGAGAAGGACAUUACUCCAAAGGAUUAGUUGCUUUGGUGGUUGUGUUAUGUUUAAGAGGAUGUGGUACCGGUUGAAGAUUGUGUUGUCGAUGGUCUUUUGCUGGUUUUCUUGCUUUUGGCUUGGCUCUGUAAUGCGCUUCCUGGAAACUUGGCAAGGGUUGGUUCUUGGAUGGAAGGUUUAUUAUAUUUUUACAAAAAUAGUAAUUUGUACAAUCAUUUAUGUUUUCUUUUGUUGUUCAGAAAUAUUAUGCUUUAGGAUUCUGUUUGUAUUGAAGUUGUGUAUGUGAAUUUCUGCCACAGUAUUGGACUGAUAUCUCCAAAGGAUUAGUUGAGUGUA